rnacentral:rRNA from 1 species
GAUGAACGCUGGCGGCGUGCCUAAUACAUGCAAGUCGUGCGAACAGAUGAGGAGCUUGCUCCUCUGACGUUAGCGGCGGACGGGUGAGUAACACGUGGAUAACCUACCUAUAAGACUGGGAUAACUUCGGGAAACCGGAGCUAAUACCGGAUAAUAUAUUGAACCGCAUGGUUCAAUAGUGAAAGACGGUUUUGCUGUCACUUAUAGAUGGAUCCGCGCCGCAUUAGCUAGUUGGUAAGGUAACGGCUUACCAAGGCGACGAUGCGUAGCCGACCUGAGAGGGUGAUCGGCCACACUGGAACUGAGACACGGUCCAGACUCCUACGGGAGGCAGCAGUAGGGAAUCUUCCGCAAUGGGCGAAAGCCUGACGGAGCAACGCCGCGUGAGUGAUGAAGGUCUUCGGAUCGUAAAACUCUGUUAUUAGGGAAGAACAAAUGUGUAAGUAACUAUGCACGUCUUGACGGUACCUAAUCAGAAAGCCACGGCUAACUACGUG